rnacentral:rRNA from 1 species
UACGUAGGGCGCAAGCCUUAUCCGGAAUUAUUGGGCGUAAAGAGCUCGUAGGCGGUUUGUCGCGUCUGCCGUGAAAGUCCGGGGCUCAACUCCGGAUCUGCGGUGGGUACGGGCAGACUAGAGUGAUGUAGGGGAGACUGGAAUUCCUGGUGUAGCGGUGAAAUGCGCAGAUAUCAGGAGGAACACCGAUGGCGAAGGCAGGUCUCUGGGCAUUAACUGACGCUGAGGAGCGAAAGCAUGGGGAGCGAACAGG